UACGUAGGUGGCAAGCGUUGUCCGGAUUUACUGGGCGUAAAGAGCGCGCAGGCGGUCGUUCAAGUCGCGUGUGAAAGCCCCCGGCUCAACUGGGGAGGGUCACGCGAUACUGAUCGACUCGAAGGCAGGAGAGGGUAGUGGAAUUCCCGGUGUAGUGGUGAAAUGCGUAGAUAUUGGGAAGAACACCGGUGGCGAAAGCGCCUUGCUGGGUCUGCACUGACACUGAGGGACGAAAGCUAGGGGAGCGAAAGGG
rnacentral:rRNA from 1 species